rnacentral:ribozyme from 1 species
AACGUGGUAAAGAAAUUAUUGAAUCAUCUUCACCUGAAAAAAUUUUACAACGUCAACGUCAAAAUCAACGUCAAUUAGAAUUAAAUAAUAAUAAUAAUAAUAAUAAUAA